rnacentral:lncRNA from 1 species
GAACUGAGCUGGAGACUUGAUGAAAAUGAGCACUUGGACGUUCACAUAUUCUGGAAGUUACUGUUGCUGUGAUAAGCACAAAGGAUCCAUUUUUAGCAAAGGAUAUUGGAAGAUAUCAGGCUGGAGGAGGUUUGAUGAGCAUGGCUUCCCAGGUCUUGCCAGUUCCUCAGAGAUGUGCUCGGGCUACUCUCUAUUGAAAUGAUCACCUUACGUUACUCAGCCUGUACUGCAAGCAUCAAGCUAACUUUCCACAGAACCAAACUCAUUCUGGGAGAAUGUGAAAUGGCCUGGCCCCAUGCUGGACACUCUUUGAAGGGAGAAAAAUGGGGAAGUUCAGGUCGCAGCAGUUUCUCUUUGUGAGGAACAAACGGCUUGGUUUAAUAUGCAGGUGGAAAGGGAAAACAAGAGAGAAAACCGGCCAAGUGAUUGGUGGCCCUGCUGCGAGGAAUUUUCUAACAAGCUCCAGGAAACAUUUCAUUUGGGAACAAGCAACAAUGGAGAGGCUGAUUACUCUAACUCAGGAGUGAUUACUGCCCAGAAGGUGCGUGUUGUUCCCAAAUGCAUCACUGUGUUUACACUUCUCAACUCUAACAGUCCUCCAUCCUUCAUACUGAAGGACAAAAUGCCUAUUGCUACUCUCUUGAAUUCUCAGAGAAUACUAAAGCGUGUGUGUAUAGCCUUGCUAAGACUAAAACAUUUCUUACCCAAGUGUUGUACUUCUAGCCAUGCUCUUAAAGAAGUACUCAGGCCAGUUAACAGUAGCCUAUCUUAGGUUGGUUCCCUAGAAGCAGACACUGAGAAGAGGAUUCUUGUGAAAGUCAUUUAUUUAUUAGGAAGUGUCCCCUAAAGUGUGACUUGGAAGGGGAAGGGGCCAACCGAGGGUGUAGUAUGAAGCAAAGUCCUGUGAAGGGGUGCACUUGCUUGAGUUGUCUCCAUUAGGUUGCAGAGAAGCAGGGUUUUAUCCUCUGCAUCUGUCAGUCAUGCAUGGGUUAAAGCUGUCCCAGGGGGCAGAAAUUCGGGUUCAGACAACUGGAGGGCAGGCUGCCAGAGAAGAGACACAGCUGUUUGUAGUUGGGAGUGAACCUGCACUGGGAGCCAGUGAGUAUGAAAAUAGUGAUGGGGUUUGAGGAUGUGUGAGUGGGCCAUUGCCAGUGUUUGCUGUCUCAGCCCAUAGACAACACAUGGGAGAAAGGGGCUGGGUCAGCGUGGGCAGGAGAGGUAGACAUUUUUCGUCCAGUUGAGCUGGCACUCCAUGUCUUUAGUUCCAUAAUCUUUAGAGGCCACCAUUUUCCAUUGCCAACACAGGCAACAUCAGGGAGGACUUUUGGGUGUGGAUGGGAGGGAAAUAAUAACAAUAAUAACAUAACUGAGAAAACUCUUACUUAUGUUAUGUGCAGGUUCAGCUAUAUGCUUUACACAUAUUUCUGCAUUUGGUGAGGCCCAAAGAAUUUUAAAUUGCUUGUCCUGGGUCACACAAUUAGGUUGUAGCAGAGCUGGGCCUUAAAUGGUGGACUGAGAGCAAGUUCAUGUUCUUGGUCACUGUGCAAAGCUGUUCCCCAGCACAUCAUCUCAGGCCUGCGGAUCAAGCUCUGCCUUUGCUUUGCAAAGGACAGGGUUCCAGAGGGCAGAAUUUUUCCUAAGAAUGAG